rnacentral:lncRNA from 1 species
AGAGAUGAAUGGUAUCUUCUCUAAUUUCUAUUGAUGUAGCUCAUUCUCCUGUUGCAGUGAUAAUGCAUACAUUGUUCCUGUAUGAUUCAUCUUAAAUUUUAUACUUGAUAUCCAUUAAUCAAAAUCACCUAAUAAUUUUUCAUGAGCCAUGUGCUGAUCUAUGUCUGCUACACAUAAUCCAGGCGGGGUUGAUGGCACUGAUGCUUAGGUGGACUGAUCACACGAGAUGGCUAGGCCUCCCCUACUCAUGAAGGUCUUGGCUGCUGGCUCUUAUAUGUAUUAAUAAUGUUAUAACAUAUGUGAGGCUGUCAGCGGUUUUAAUUUACCCAUGGUAGGUUUUGUAACUUCUCACAUGGUGAUGCUGUUGCUAGUAGUAAUAAUACCUAUACUAUUCUUGGCGUGCAAUGUAAUGGGCAUUGAAAAAGGCUUCUCCAACUUGUGUAAUGUAUUUCCCUAUCAGAUUAAGAUGCAUUUCUGUUAUCAUUUGGUUUUGUUCGUGCAUGUAUUUCCCUUGCUGACUGCAGGCGCGCAUGCACUAGAGAUUGCU